rnacentral:rRNA from 1 species
GACGUAGGGCGCGAGCGUUGUCCGGAUUUAUUGGGCGUAAAGAGCUCGUAGGCGGCUUGUUGCGUCGGCUGUGAAAACCCAUGGCUUAACUGUGGGUCUGCGGUGGAUACGGGCAGACUAGAGGCAGGUAGGGGAGAAUGGAAUUCCCGGUGUAGCGGUGAAAUGCGCAGAUAUCAGGAAGAACACCCGUGGCUAAGGCGGCUCUCUAGUACGGUACUGACGCUGAGACGCGAAAGCGUGGGGAGCGAACAGG